rnacentral:rRNA from 1 species
GAUGAACGCUAGCGGCAGGCUUAAUACAUGCAAGUCGAACGGUAAGUUUGGUAGCAAUACUGAACCAAGAGUGACGUACGGGUGCGUAACACGUAUGCAACCUACCCAAAACAGGAGGAUAGCUCGGGGAAACUCGAAUUAACCCUCCAUAAGAUGAUAGAGUAGCAUUACUUAGUCAUUAAAACUCCGGUGGUUUUGGAUGGGCAUGCGUCUGAUUAGUUAGUUGGCGGGGUAACGGCCCACCAAGACGAUGAUCAGUAGGGGAACUGAGAGGUUGAUCCCCCACACUGGCACUGAGAUACGGGCCAGACUCCUACGGGAGGCAGCAGUAGGGAAUAUUGGUCAAUGGAUGCAAGUCUGAACCAGCCAUGCCGCGUGCAGGAAGAAGGCGUUAUGCGUUGUAAACUGCUUUUGCCAGGGGAUAAAAUAACCUUGCGAGGUUAAUUGAAGGUACCUGGUGAAUAAGCCACGGCUAACUACGUGCCAGCAGCCGCGGUAAUAC